AGAGCUAGCGGCCUCCGGGUAGUGUGUUGUGUUUGCUUGGGUAGCCUUUUCCAUCCACGCCUGCGCAGUGGCCGCUUCCCUGCCCGGGGGCCGACCUCCAGCCCCACCCCUUUCCCCGUGUUCUCCGCCCCGCCCCUGGCCAACCUGUCAGCCAAUCAGAGCUCGUGGCAGUUUCGGAGGCCGAAGAGCUGCGGGAAUUGGCUGCGGCCGGAGGACGAGCUGGAAUUCUAUUUGGUGUUGGAGCUGCCCAAGGAGCCCCGUUGGAACCGGUCUGAGGCGGCGUGGGGGCUGCGAGUGCGAUUUUGAGCACCUGGCGGGAAAGCAUGGACGGCAGCAGCUCCUUGCGCGGGGUGAGAAAAUUAUGGCUCCGAAAGGCACGACCUGUCUGAGUGUACACAGCUGGUUGGCGAAUUGGCUGGGACUUGGUUUUUGUCGUCAAAGUCAGUGCUCUUUAAGCUUUUCUGGAACGCAUCUCCUGCAUCCCAAGAAACACUGCAAGAGUCCACAGCUCCCAGCCACUUAUGGCAGCUGAGGGGUCCAUCUGGGAAAUGACUCCGGAACUCCUUCAGACACACUCACCGUGGCAGGGUGACCUGGCAGUCCCUGAUUCCCUGCCAGCUCAUUUGCGGCCAGUAUUUUUCACAGAUGCUCCCUGCUAGACUCUAAAUACGUUGAGAGCAGUGACUAACUGCUCGCUCACCACUGUCUCCCCACCCCUAAGCAUGGAGUUUUUGCAAAGUAAGUAUUCAACAAACA